rnacentral:rRNA from 1 species
UACGUAGGGUGCAAGCGUUAAUCGGAAUUACUGGGCGUAAAGCGUGCGCAGGCGGUGAUGUAAGACAGGUGUGAAAUCCCCGGGCUUAACCUGGGAAUGGCAUUUGGGACUGCAAGGCUGGAGUGUGGCAGAGGAGACUGGAAUUCCUGGUGUAGCAGUGAAAUGCGUAGAUAUCAGGAGGAAUACCGAUGGCGAAGGCAGGUCUCUGGGCUGACACUGACGCUCAUGCACGAAAGCGUGGGGAGCAAACAGG